AGAGUACAUUUAGGUUGGGGAGAACUGGGUUCAACAGAGGAUCAAAACCAACCACACGCUCUUCCUCUACUCAGGAAACUUCUGGUGCAUCUGGGUCAGGGAGAAGAUUGUACUUGCUGGCGCUGGUUUUUAAAACUGACAGAUCAAUAAGGUGGAAUUCUCCAUGACAUUUCUGAGGGGACAAGAACAGACAUCUGUUCACUCCAGAUAGGGCUCUAACCACAGACCAAAGAAACGAUUCCACCCAAGUCUAGGUCCUGUGCGAUUGUUGAAGUUACUUACAGGUCUUUGCAUGAGGAGUUACUAGCAGGCUCAUGAUCACUGAAGACCCCACCCCAGCAGGGACCGGGACUCACAUCACUGCCUUCAGGCAACUUGGCCAGUUAGGGUCUCUUCACCCCAAGAGUCAUGUAACUUUCAACUUUCUGAGACUUCAAAACAAGAAGAUGAGCUUGUUGAAGGACAAUCUCAAAAUAAAGCAGCAGGAUGGGCUCUGCAAUGGAACCCUGAACCCCACUGUCACUAGGCAAACUCUACCACUGAGCCAUGCUCCACUCCAGUUCUGGACCUUCGUCUCCUCUUCUCUUCUUCCUUAAAUGUCAGAGACAGAUGGAUUCCCCUGCCUGGAAUUGUUGGCGAUUUUCUCCUGACACACUGGUGACAGGAGAUCCUGUGAAGCUCAACUUUGGAAACGAGGAAGAGAGAGGAAUACAAAUCCGUCCACGCUGGGAACAGAAAACCUGCUAUUGGUUUCUCAGCCGCAGCUGAGCCUCCUUUCAGAGCAACGCAUUCCAACAACUGCAAGUCCAGAUUGCGAUUUCUCCCCGAGGGUCUGGACGCCACUCUUCCCACAGAGGGCGCCACUGUCUCAGUUGAAUCGAUCCCGUGGAUCAUCUUAGAACAAACCGGGAACCCUUGUCUUCCGUGGAAUGAACUUCACUCGCGGACAGAGCAAAGCUGGUGUUCGUCGGUGAGAACAGCUCUCUCAGCAGAAAAGCUUUGGAGAAACUGUGCCAUUCUCCAGUUAAACCUUUGAUCCUUUUUUUCCCCCGGAAAUGCAAGUAGAACGUCACAUCACCUUCGAACCUUGCAAUUUCGGAGUGGGAGAACAGCUCGCCAUCCCUGGCUGCAUCUUGAUAUUUUCCAUCUUCUAGUUCUGAUAAUAUGGUCUUAGAAUGGUACCCAGCUCAUCGGCUGUAGAGUCGGCUUGCUGCUUUCUGGAAUCAAUAUUCUGUGAAAUAGUUCGACUUUCUGUUUGAGCAAGGAAAACAGUGAAGUUGUGGGGGAAAAAAAAAUCUAAUAAGCCACGGGAGCUGAAAACUCUGGAGGUGCCGGGGAUUGAACCCGGGGCCUCGUGCAUGCUAAGCACGCGCUCUACCACUGAGCUACACCCCCGACACGGUUGGGCUCUCGGGAAUACAUUCAAGACAGAAAUCUGAUUUUUGUUAGGUUUUGGAAACGUCAGGAGCAGAAGCCUGAGGCCACCCUAUUUUCACCAUUUAAAGGCCAAGCCGAAGCCGUGCGUCUGCCUAGCACAGAGCAACGUGCUUGCGAAUCUGUACCAAUGCCGCUGUUCGCAGCUCUUGGUCCAGAGUGCAGGCAGCCACCUCUCCCAGCUCGGGAAGAGCCGGAUGAAUACUUUCCGUCCGUCUUUAUUCCCCUCUUCCCGCUUCCUUACUUUUAAAUGGUUGCACAAUUGGGAACGAAGGACCUCCUCUGUAAUCCCAGCACUUGGAAGGCGAAGACAGGAGGAUUGCCUCGAGUUGCAAGACUAGCCAGAACUACAUGGUGAGACUCUUGUUUCCAAACCGGAGAGAAAAAUGAGAGAGAGCUGGGAGAACUGAAAGACUAAAGGUGGUUUUUUAGAUAGAAAGUUGUGGCUCCAGAUAAUAAAUCAAUGUGAACAAAAGACAUAGACAUUAUUAUAAAUAAUCGGAGGUGACGUAAGAGUGGAA